UGCCUGGAGUGAAGAUUCUGCCCAUUGGUCAAGAGACCUCCCUCUCAGAUGCUGGCUCUGCCCCUGCCUUUGGGGGUCGACCCUUGUACUCGCAGGACCUUAGGUGACUCUAUUCUACUUCUCUGAUCAUCCAGGAAACCAAUCUGCCUGAGGACGAGUCAUACUCUGUCCUCCCACCCCAGGCUAGAGAGUGGUAUCUGUCUUUCCACAAGUUGGAUCUGAAUGAUGCAGUGUUGCAAUCCCAUUUUAUAAAUGAGGCAACCAAAACUCAAACAGGACCAUAUUGUGACUGAAACAAGGCAUAACAGGUCUUUGACUAGCUAUCCUGUGGGUGUGGCCUCAGGGUAGCCUGCAGAAAGUGGUGAGCAAGGUGGUUGGGAAAAUCAAAGGAGGGGGUAAGGUAGUGGCAGGUAACUAUCGAUAAUCUGCUCUUCUUCACAGAAAGACAGGCAAUUAGAUUGAAAAAUACCUGUGAUUCAAAGAAGUCACAAGUCACAGAGACAAACUUUUCCCAGUGUGUUCGAGUCAGAGAACCUUUGCAAAGACCAACAGGCUAAAAGAGAAAAUACAGUGUCAUCUUGAUGCAGAUGAGCAGGUAGCCAUGGAAGUCAUGAGCUGAGGCUGCAGAGUCUAGAGCCAGAGCGUGGAAUAAACUUGGGUCUCAAAUCACCCCUGGAGCAAAGCCCCCAUCUAAUCAGGAACUUCUACUUUCAACUUUACAUGCGUGAGAAAUGAACUUCUAUCAUGUUAGAGAAAUCCUUACACGGUGCCCUUGAGAGCUUUCAUACCGCAAGUUAUCCAUUUUCCUCCCCUCAAACCUGGCAUCGGUGUUUAUUAAAACAAAGCAAAAUAAAA
rnacentral:antisense_RNA from 1 species